GGAGGAAGCCCCGGCUAACUACGUGCCAGCAGCCGCGGGAAUACGUAGGGGGCUAGCGUUAUCCGGAUUUACUGGGCGUAAAGGGUGCGUAGGCGGUCUUUCAAGUCAGGAGUGAAAGGCUACGGCUCAACCGUAGUAAGCUCUUGAAACUGGGAGACUGGAGUGCAGGAGAGGAGAGUGGAAUUCCUAGUGUAGCGGUGAAAUGCGUAGAUAUUAGGAGGAACACCAGUUGCGAAGGCGGCUCUCUGGACUGUAACUGACGCUGAGGCACGAAAGCGUGGGGAGCAAACAGGAUUAGAUACCCUGGUAGUCCACGCUGUAAACGAUGAGUACUAGGUGUCGGGGGUUACCCCC
rnacentral:rRNA from 1 species